GUGGUCACCAGCAGCACAUAUACUGAAAUUGGAAUGAUACAGAGAAGAUUAGCAUGGCCCCUGCAUAAGGAUGACACAAAUUCAUGAAAUGUUCCAUAUUUUU
rnacentral:snRNA from 1 species